rnacentral:rRNA from 1 species
UACAGAGGGUGCAAGCGUUGUUCGGAUUCACUGGGCGUAAAGGGUGCGUAGGCGGUCGGGUAAGUCUGAUGUGAAAUCUCACAGCUUAACUGUGAAACUGCAUUGGAUACUAUCCGGCUCGAGGAAUGGAGGGGAGACUGGAAUACUUGGUGUAGCAGUGAAAUGCGUAGAUAUCAAGUGGAACACCAGUGGCGAAGGCGAGUCUCUGGACAUUUCCUGACGCUGAGGCACGAAAGCCAGGGGAGCAAACAGG